rnacentral:rRNA from 1 species
ACUGCCAAUUUGCUAGUCAAAUAUAACAACUAUAACCCACAAAAUCCCCUUAAACCCCUAAAUAAAAUAUUUUACCGCUCUAGUAUGGACGAUAGAAAAAGGCCUAUGAACUAUAGAAAAAGUACCGCAAGGGAAAGCUGAAAAAGAAUUGAAAGAAUAAUUUAAGCACAAAAAAGCAGGCAUUAAACCCCGUACCUUUUGCAUCAUGGAUUAGCUAGUCAAAAGAGCACAGCCUCUCUUAAGUUCUAUCCCCCGAAACUGUAGGAGCUACUUCAGGCCAUCAACUAAAGGAUUAUACCCCCCUCUGUGGCAAAAGAGCGGGAAGAGCCUCAAGUAGAGACGAAACAUCUACCGUAUACAGUUAUAGCUGGUUGCCCAAGAAAUGAAUAGAAGUUCAGCCCCGUAGCUCUUUAAUUCUACUAAUAGAACCUAAAGAACUACUGGAGUUAUUAAAGGGGGGACAGCUCCUUUAAUACCAGAAACAACUGCCUAAUGCGGAUAAAGUUCAUAUUAAAAAUCACCCACUUUAGAGUAGGCUUAAUACCAGCCACCCCAAAAGAAAGCGUUAAAGCUCAAAUACCCCACAAUUAAAUUCCGAUCCAUUAACUUAGUCCCACAACUUAUUGGGCCCUACUAUCUAAUAGUAGAGACAAUGCUAGUAUGAGUAAUAAGAGGCCUCACCUCUCCUUACAUACCUGUUUAUCACCCCCGAACCACGAUUGAAAAUUACUCGGCCCCAACAGAGGGUAAUGAAUACUACAUAAACAACUAGAAAAACAAACUCAUUAAACCGUAGACCCCACACAGGCAUGUGCCCUAGGAAAGAUUAAAAGAAAAUAAAGGAACUCGGCAAACAUAAAUCCCGCCUGUUUACCAAAAACAUCGCUUCUUGACCUUAUAAGAAGUCCCGUCUGCCCUGUGAUAUAAUUUAACGGCUGCAGUAACACAACUGCACAAAGGUAGCGUAAUCACUUGUCUUUUAAUUGAAGACCUGUAUGAAUGGCAUCACGAGGAUUUAACUGUCUCUAUUUUCUAAUCAAUAAAAUUGUUCUCUUCGUGCAGAAACGAAGAUACCCCUAUAAGACGAGAAGACCCUGUGGAGCUUCAAGUAAACUAAGAGUGUUUCAAAAUACACCAACUUACGCUUACUUUCGGUUGGGGCGACCGUGAAGAACAAAAUAACCUUCAUAAGGAAUAGAAUAACCUUAAACACGAACAACAGUUCUAGUUAUCAGAAUAUCUGACCUCUAAGACCCAGCAUGCCUGAUUAAUGAACCAAGUUACCCCAGGGAUAACAGCGCAAUUUUCUUCAAGAGUCCUUAUCGACAAGAAAGUUUACGACCUCGAUGUUGGAUCAGGACAUCCCAAUGGUGCAACCGUCAUUAAUGGUUCGUUUGUUCAACGAUUAAAGUCCUACGUGAUCUGAGUUCAGACCGAAGCAAUUCAGGUCAGUUUCUAUCUAUAUUUUAUUUUUCUUCAGUACGAAAGGACAAAGAAAAGAAGGCCAAUGACUCCAUUACGCCUUACCUUAAGACACUAAAUUACCCUAAAAUGUUUACAAGGAAUAUUCCCUCAUUUAAAGACCCU